UCCGUGGUGGUCCAGUGGUUAGGACUUGGCACUUUCACUGCUGGGGCCUGGGUUUGAUCCCUGGUCGGGGAA
rfam:Ovis aries breed Texel chromosome 11, whole genome shotgun sequence.